AUUGAACGCUGGCGGCAUGCCUAACACAUGCAAGUCGAGCGGAAGAAGGCAGCUUGCUCCUGGAUUCAGCGGCGGACGGGUGUGAAAUGCCUAGGAAUCUGCCUGGGAGUGGGGGAUAACGUCCGGAAACGUGCGCUAAUACCGCAUACGUUCUGAGUGAGAAAGUGGGGGCUCUUCGGACCUCACGCUAUCAGAUGACCCUAGGUCGGAUUAGCUAGUUGGUGGGGUAAAGGCCUACCAAGGCGACGAUCCGUAACUGGUCUGAGAGGAUGAUCAGUCACACUGGAACUGAGACACGGCCCAGACUCCUACGGGAGGCAGCAGUGGGGAAUAUUGGACAAUGGGCGCAAGCCUGAUCCAGCCAUGCCGCGUGUGUGAAGAAGGUCUUCGGAUUGUAAAGCACUUUAAGUUGGGAGGAAGAGCAGUAAGUUAAUACCUGGCUGUUUUGACGUUACCAACAGAAUAAGCACCGGCUAACUUCGUG
rnacentral:rRNA from 1 species